rnacentral:lncRNA from 1 species
GAGUCACUAUCUUUGAUUCCUUUUGCAAACAGAAGCUCCUAUGGAUCAAAGUGAAAAGGUCUAGGAAGUUUAGAUCUGAAAUUUCAAUCGAGGAAACCAAAAUUCAGAUCUGAAAUUUUUAGAGAAAAUUGAGAUUUGUUCCUUUGGUAGGGGUGUGGAUUCAAUUCAGCAGAGGUUUAGGCGCCAUUAGGUUUAGAAAUGAGAGCUCAUAUGCCAUGUAUUUAUAGCCAAACCCAUGCUGAAAGUGUGAUUUCAAAUUUGCAUGAAUGGAAAGGGCCUCCAUGCAUGGGCCUGUACAGGUGCAUGGAGG